rnacentral:rRNA from 1 species
GUUGAUAGAACAAUGUAGAUAAGGGAAGUCGGCAAAAUGGAUCCGUAACUUCGGGAUAAGGAUUGGCUCUAAGGGUCGGGCUCGCUGGGCCUUGGGGGGAACCCCCCGGAGCAGGGAGGCACUAGCCGGGCAACCGGCCGGCGCUUCCCAGCACCGGGGCGGGGACGCCCUUGGCAGGCUUCGGCCGUCCGGCGGGCGCUUAACGACCAACUUAGAACUGGUACGGACAAGGGGAAUCUGACUGUCA